rnacentral:tRNA from 1 species
UAGCUCAGUUGGUGGAGUACUUGCCUGGAAAGCAGGAAGAUCUGAGUUUGAUUCCCUG